AUGGACAAACGACCACCAAGUGCAAGGGAGGUGCAGAGAAAUUAGAGGAGAAAAAGAUUAAGAAUCAACAAGCGGAGUCCUCAAAAAUUUCGGACAUGUUUGGGGCUGCUUCAACAUCAGCAUUACCUGAAGCCGAGGAGGAGGAGAGGUGGCUGGCUAUACAGAGAAGCAGAAACAACGAUGUCAGGGAAGAAGGCGAGGAGGAGGCGAGUGAGGAAAAGAUGGAAGAGAGAGUAGAUGACGAUGUGAAGAAACACCCCACUGGUCUAGAGAGGUACACACAACUUUCUUCAGGAGCCCUCAAAAGGAAGUCAUCCACUGAAGGUUCUUUACCCCACCUUCUAAACAAACCAAGCUGUGGGAGACUCAAAGAGUGUCCCAGGCAAGUGUGGAUAAAGUAGUCCUCAAAUUCGUUGUCCAAGGCUUGCACACACUACACAUUGUUCAGCAACAGGGCUUCAUUGAUCUUGUGCAACAUCUUCAGCACAAUACUGUUGUAAACAAAGUCACAACAGCCUCUGUUGAAAUGAAAAGAAAACUGAAAGCUGUAGUUAGUGAAAUUGAGUUCAUAGCAACAACAACAGACUGCUGGACGGCACACCAUUGCGGUUUCAUUGGUGUCACUGGUUUAACCCCCAGACCAUGCAGAGAUCCUGUGCUGCCCUGGCUUGCAGUCAGCUUAAAGGGUCACAUACCUUUUCUGCCCUGGCUGGUGACCUAAAUAAUAUUCACAUAGAAUUCAAUAUCAGAGAGAAGAUCGUUCGCACUACAUCUGACAACGGAUCAAACUUCCUGAAAGCCUUCAGAGUUUACUGGCAGACUGACCAGAACAACAAUCCUGAACCUGUAGGAGAGGGUGAUGGAGAAGAGGAUGAUGGUGGCCAAAAUGAUGAUUACGAUGAAGAAGAGGAAAGCAUUGAGGGUGAUGAAUUCGUUGAUGCCAGAGCCCUGUUGGAAGAAGAUGACUACUUGGAAUACCAGCUACUCAAGCACCAUCACUGCACCUGCCUCCUCAAUUUAAUGUCCACAGUUGAUGCUUCAAAAGCAGAGGUCAACCCAUUGUACAAGCGUGUGUCAAGGUCCACAUUUGCCAAAUGCUCUAGCGUGUGAAACAAAAGUUCAAGAUCAACCACCGCAUCUGAAGUAAUUAAGGAACACUGCAAACUCCAACUCGUAAGGUCCGUUGCUACAAGGUGGAAUUCACUCUUCUCAGCCGUAGAAAGAAUAGUGAGAAUAACAAGAGAACAAGGUGAAGGAGCCCUUGCAGCUGUCUGCAGUGAACUAGAUACACCUAAUGGAACUUGGAUUUCUUGCAGAAUAUGCAAAGACAAUGAGCCCAGUUGCAAAGGCACUUGAUGUUCUUCAGGGAGAAACCAGUGUGCAGAUGGGAUGGUUGGUCCCCACCAUAACUCUACUAAGGACCAAGCUCCAGCACCUUCACGUCACCUCCAAGUUCUGUGAGCCUUUGAUUGCUGCAAUUUAAGACCUGCUGGACAAGUUAUGACGAAAAUAUCCUCAAACUUGGUAAGUGUCUCAUUUCUCAACUUCCCCUUAAUUUGUGUAAUUUCUAUGGAGACAGUGAAAUGAGUUUGAAAUUACAUUUAAUGAAACAAACACACGCACACACACACACACACACACACACACUAUAUCAGAAGCCACUUGGACUGUCAGGCUGAGAAUCACAUCAGUGAGGGCUCCCAAUCGCCUGAGGAAGAGGACUUCUUUUCCUCCUUGAAGAAGACCGGCACUCUUGAAACGACCCAGCAGUUGGAUACGUACCUGGGGUGCCCAGGAGAGUGUGAGUGUGGCUAUGCAGUGGCAAAGGAACUUCUACAGGAGCUGCAGGGCUGUGGCAAUGUGAUGGAGGAACUCCAGUACAUGCAGGAACUGGACAUGCCUGUUAACAUGAGAGCCAUAAUUUCAAAGUUACCAUUCCAGAUGAGGGAGUAAUGGAGGACCAUAGCUUACGGCAUAAAUGAAACCACUAACCAGAGAGCUCACUUCAUUGAUCUGGUCACCUUCAUUGAGCGACUUGUCAGCAUUCUUUCUGACCCGUUGCAUAGAGCAUAUGGAAAUAUUGUCACCACAGUACCAUCUAUGGCCUUGUCUGAGGAAGUUAAGGACCCAACAUUGUAUCAAGGGAAAGUAAAGUAAGCUGGAUGCCUUUGCUGUGCUUGAAAAUACUCAUUGGAAGAGUGCAAAAUAUUCACUUUCUGAAGGAAAAAAGAGUUUGCUUUGCAUGCUUAGGUAAUGGUCACAUGGGCAAGGAUUGUGACAGGCACUUGACAUGCAAAGUUUGUGGUCAAACUCAUCCCACUGUGCUACAUACCAUAAGGCAAACUACAGCUAUGGAACUGUUAAAGGAACCAAGUAAUAACCAAUCAUCUUCACAGGAAACAUGUGGACAUACAGGGGGCAGUAAGGAUCAAUUUGUUCUAUCCAUUGUCCCUGUAAAUGGGAAAUCCGCAAAAGGAAACUGCAUCAUUAAAACCUAUGCUUCCACAUUCUGCUUGGAACAUCUAAUGCAGAAGUUGAAUAUUACAGGCAGAAGAACCAACUUCCUGUUGCGCACAAUGGGGCAAGAAACUAUUGUUCCAGCCUAUUCCUUGACUGGUUUGGAGGUAUCUGGUCUGGACAGCAGAUGUCCAGACCAGAUACACCAUAUACUAUAUACUAUGGUCCCAGAGAUCCUCGCACAAAGAAAAUGCCAGUUGCAGCUGAUAACAUGGUGAAGCCUGAAGACCUGGCUAAAUGGCCGUACUUGUCAAAAGUACACAUCACAAGCAUAAAAAGCAAAUGUCAACCUGUUGAUUGGAACCAAUGCUCCCAAGGUAUCGGAAACUUGGGAGGCUGUCAACAGCUGCAGGAAUGGCCAGUAUGCUAUUAGGACAUGGUUCUUUAAAGUAAUUGCAUUGUAUUAAAAUGCGUUCAUUUUCAAUGGGCAUAAAUGCGGCUGAAACAGGUGCAUCCCACAUUUUUCAACAUUAACAUUUUAAUAUGACAUGAUGUUUAUAAAGGUAAGCUCAAAGGGCACAUGGUUGUUGACUGCUCUCGCUUUGACACUCAACGCUGUGAUUCUGGAGUGCAUUGGUACCAAAACCUUGUUCAAAAUGCUGUUUUAUUGUAUAUGGAUUUAACGCUGAAACUGAAAUAAUGGAUGUUUUCAUGCUGCAUGGUAAACCUAAUUAUCUUUCUGCAACACAACAUCAUUUGACGAUUCUUGAACGCUACACAGCAUGUUUACAUUAGGCAGUGCGUCAGCUAGGUCACUCUGGGUUAAACCACCUCAGUAGCUAACAGUAUCAGACUGAGCUCCUUUAACAGUCUACAUUGACGAUGUUUCAUUUACAAAAUAGGUACGGUUCUGCCGGAUGAACCUUUUUUCCAUUUUCUUUGUGUUGGCAUUCUAAACACCAGUCAAUUCAGGAAACAUCCUCUUAGCUAGAACUGACAAUCAAAAUAUAUUCAUCUCUUUUUGAGCAAAAUUCUCAUCACACUCUCGACAGCCAUUUUAAUUCCAGAGCUUGCAUCCCUAUGUGCACUUGUUCCACCAAAACAUGUUCCUUCUGAGGCUAUCUUGCAGAGGCACCCUUGCUGCGUUUGGCUCUUCAUCGUUGCUUGGCGCUGCCCAAGACAAUUGUGAUUGAUUCAAAGAAAUGCCAAUAAACCAGAGCAUGUUUUUUUCUCCUAUCCAGGAAUGUUGUGUGGACUAGCCAGACCUUCCUCUGCUGUGCUUUGUAGAUAGGUCUGUUAAUGCGAGAAUAAUGCAGCAGUAAUCCAAAAAGAUAAUACAAUAGUAAAACCCUGACAGGAAACAUUUUACUUCCCAAUCAAUACUUUUACUUUUAAAACUGUAAGUACAUUUUGUUGAUAAUACUUAUCAUAGUUGUAUUUAAGGUUGUGCUCAUUUUAACUAAUGUAACAUGUGAUAGAAAUUUUCUUGCAGCA